rnacentral:lncRNA from 1 species
AUGAUAAGAAAUUCGUCGUUGACCUCCGUUUCUCCAUCUUCGAAUCACUCGGAAUAUUGUAGGAAUAAAUAUAAAUCGAAAGAACCAACUGUAAAAAAUAAGGGAAAUUGUGGCUUCCUGGUUUUUCAAGCGACAUACACGAAAUACACUGAAAAGCAUCUUUGGUUCUUGAAGAUGCAGUUAGAAAUAUUUACAUUGUUGUUGCAUUUUGUGCUGGUAAUAAGCGAAUAA